CGUAGGGGGCUAGCGUUGUCCGGAUUUAUUGGGCGUAAAGAGCGCGUAGGCGGCCGCGUAAGUCCGGUGUGAAAACUCGAGGCUUAACCUCGAGAUGUCAUCGGAAACUAUUCGGCUAGAGUCCGGAAGAGGAGAGUGGAAUUCCUGGUGUAGCGGUGAAAUGCGCAGAUAUCAGGAAGAACACCUAUGGCGAAAGCAGCUCUCUGGGACGGUACUGACGCUGAGACGCGAAGGCGUGGGGAGCGAACAGGAUUAGAUACCCUGGUAGUCCACGCCGUAAACGAUGGGUGCUAGGUGUGGGCGGUGUCGACUCCGUCCGUGCCGAAGCUAACGCAUUAAGCACCCCGCCUGGGGAGUACGGCCGCAAGGCUA
rnacentral:rRNA from 1 species